UACGAAGGGGGCUAGCGUUGUUCGGAUUCAUUGGGCGUAAAGGGUGCGUAGGCGGCGGAGCAAGUCUGAUGUGAAAUCCCGGGGCUCAACCCCGGAACUGCAUUGGAUACUGCUUUGCUAGAGUACUGGAGAGGGAACUGGAAUUUACGGUGUAGCAGUGAAAUGCGUAGAGAUCGUAAGGAAGGCCAGUGGCGAAGGCGAGUUCCUGGACAGUUACUGACGCUGAGGCACGAAGGCCAGGGGAGCAAACGGG
rnacentral:rRNA from 1 species